rnacentral:rRNA from 1 species
UACAGAGGGUGCAAGCGUUGUUCGGAAUUAUUGGGCGUAAAGCGCGCGUAGGCGGCCCGGUAAGUCCGUUGUGAAAGUCAAAGGCUCAACCUUUGAACGCCGAUGGAUACUGCCGGGCUAGAGUCCGGAAGAGGCGAGUGGAAUUCCUGGUGUAGCGGUGGAAUGCGCAGAUAUCAGGAGGAACACCAAUAGCGAAGGCAGCUCGCUGGGACGGUACUGACGCUGAGGCGCGAAAGCGUGGGGAGCGAACAGG